rnacentral:rRNA from 1 species
GCAAGUCGAGCGGAUGAGGGGAGCUUGCUCCCUGAUUUAGCGGCGGACGGGUGAGUAAUGCCUAGGAAUCUGCCUGGUAGUGGGGGAUAACGUUCCGAAAGGAACGCUAAUACCGCAUACGUCCUACGGGAGAAAGCAGGGGACCUUCGGGCCUUGCGCUAUCAGAUGAGCCUAGGUCGGAUUAGCUAGUUGGUGAGGUAAUGGCUCACCAAGGCGACGAUCCGUAACUGGUCUGAGAGGAUGAUCAGUCACACUGGAACUGAGACACGGUCCAGACUCCUACGGGAGGCAGCAGUGGGGAAUAUUGGACAAUGGGCGAAAGCCUGAUCCAGCCAUGCCGCGUGUGUGAAGAAGGUCUUCGGAUUGUAAAGCACUUUAAGUUGGGAGGAAGGGCUGCUGGUUAAUACCCUGCAGUUUUGACGUUACCAACAGAAUAAGCACCGGCUAACUUCGUGCCAGCAGCCGCGGUAAUACGAAGGGUGCAAGCGUUAAUCGGAAUUACUGGGCGUAAAGCGCGCGUAGGUGGUUUUGUAAGUUGGAGGUGAAAUCCCCGGGCUCAACCUGGGAACUGCCUCCAAAACUGCAUGACUAGAGUACGGUAGAGGGUGGUGGAAUUUCCUGUGUAGCGGUGAAAUGCGUAGAUAUAGGAAGGAACACCAGUGGCGAAGGCGACCACCUGGACUGAUACUGACACUGAGGUGCGAAAGCGUGGGGGAGCAAAACAGGAUUAGAUACCCCUGGUAGUCC